CUAGAAGAAAUGGGCAGCCUUCACUCACAUUCUUUCUUCAGAAGCGUGGAGCAUCUGUUUGUAACAGCUGAAGGGUAGAAACAGCGCUUGUGAUCGUGUGGUUGUGGACAGCUGGCCUGUGAUACGCUGCAGGACUCCAUCAAAGAAGGUGGGAGGCUUCAGCCUGGGAAGGUGGGGAGCGCAGGGGCCAUCUGAGUUUGUGCAGGCUUCAACUCCACUCUGGAAGAAUCUUCUCCACUGAGACACGUCGGCAAAGUGUGCACUUUCUCUUUGUUCAUGUAGAGAUCUGCUCACAAAAAGCCAUGUGCAAAGAUGGCCUGCUCUUCUUCGAGCACCUACAAAUGGCAAAACUACAAUUGGGCAUAAAUCAGGGGCUUUUUUUUUUUGCAUAUUUUUUUUCCUGUGAGCUUAUAACUUUGCAGAAACAACUGAAGCUGAGCUGAGACACUGAAGCCAUUGAAAAUCUGACCCUGAAUAUUAAACAAGCCCCGUGUGAGGUCGUAUUCAUCUGGGGGAUUUAAGCAAUUCUGAAUUGCCAAACCACCGUCCCCUGAAAGAGAAUUUACUAGACAAUAGGAAAGGGAUUGACAGAGAAAGGAAUAAAGAUGAAAUGUGAUGUCUGCCUAACCUAUUUUUCUUCACUCCCGUACCCCAUUCUGAGCCCUUUAACCAGCACCUUAACGGGAACUCUUCUCUGGUUUUGUGUCCCUAAGUGACCACAGCACCAUCUGCCGCGGGCUCUCCCCCUUCCCACCCUGCUGCCCUUCCCCUGGGAAGCUCAGACGUGGCUGCAGUCAGCGGGGCGCAGGGAAGCGGUGACCCCAAUAAGCGGGAAUGGGACGAGAAGUGUUGGGAGCAGGAGUCACAGCGAGGAGGUGACACAUCGCCGCACCGUGACUCAGGAGAAAGGCCAGGUCCUGAGGGCCUGCUGACUGCAGUGGGAGUUUGUUGGCCCACGGUGCAGCUAAACAAAAGACAAGAAAUACAAGCUGUGGCACAGAUCGUAGCUCAGAUGAGACGGUCCUGUAACCAGUCUGAGGAGUGCUGGGCCCUCGCCAGCGAGCUACUUGCAACACACGAGGAACAAAGAGAAAUUUGACUUUGAACCAGGCUGUCCUAUAUCCAGAAGAACUGUUGCUUUUUUUUUUGUAUGCUGUACAAAUAACGCACUGCUUGUAUCACUGUGCCUACUCCGCACCAAAUACCUGGGUUAUCUACCUGGGAAUUAAGAAAACAGGUGUGUGCGCACUGUAGGGUGCAUGGCAUUGCGGCAUCAGACCUCGUUAAAUGCCAUUUAAUGGCAUGUCACUGUUUCUGGAAACAAGCGGGAUCUGCUCCUGCCCUGUCAGCUGCAGAGGCCCGCACGACACGGCCAGCCUGCUUUCAGUUCUCUGACUUCUUUGAAGCAAAUAGUUCCUGAAGGGGAGAUUGAGGAACAGUUCUUGCCUCGGAUUUGCCUGCUUACAGGCAGCCUUGUGGAGCUGGAACUUAGUCCCUGCUCGGGGAGAUUUCUCUUCUGGGAACAGAACAGCGAGCGCCAGGACCGAGCAGGGAUCUGUCAUUGCGGAUCUCGAAAGAGUUAAUGAAAGCAGAGCUUGUCUGGCCAAGGGGCUGGUGCGGCUCCAGCAGAGCAGUGAGUCACCGAUAGAGCAUCCUGCCAAAGCACCCAGCGAGCUCCUCAUCCUCAGAUCCUCCUCUCCAAACAUAAUAGUGUGAAUUGGUCCAGCAUCAUGGCUAGGAAGCCCGACUGAACCCAGUCUGUACUUCACCAGCCACCAGGACUGUGACGUUCCUGUUUCGUCAAAUGAGCCCCCGUGGCAUUUCGCUCCUAAACAACGGACGGCUGCUCAUCAGACUAAAAUUAAAGGAGGUAACAAAUCAAUAUCCCAAACCCGCGCUUCUUUUGGACAAUCAGCAUUUCAUGGCCAGCUUGUUUUCCACAGUGAGGCACGGCUCUUCUUUAUUCAAACCCUCCAGCGGCAUUAACAUGCUCGGUGCGGAUCUCUGCCCUGUCAUACUUCUUAUCUCAAGGACAGCACCUCCGACAGCAAAAUGCCCCAUCCAUCACGUGGGAAUAUUAGCAAGCGUCCGGUCCUCUCGAGGAUGAAUAAAACCCGGGGCCCCCUGGCUCCAUGCCAAGCCGACCGCUUCCGAAAGCUGCCGCGGCCCUCCCAGGCCAUUCAUGCAGCUGAGCCGUUUCUUUAGGGCAGCGGGCACACGUGAUUAAGCAAGGGGAUAUUUGGGGAGGAAAAAAAAGAAAAAAAAAAAAAAACAGCUCGGGAAGCUGAAAGGGACUCGCCGUGCGUGCCCAAAAUCACGCCGAGGCCCCUGCAGAGCCGUGCGUGCGCUCCCGGGUGUGUGCACGAGGCCGGGACGUCGUCCCGGUGCCCCGCUGGGAUCUCGGUGCUCGUGUGGCUGUGUGCGUGCCUACGUUCUGCUUGCCUUUGUUUUGGUUGGUGCUUCUAAUCCCCCGGGGCAUAUCUCUGAGCUGAGGAACUUUAGAGCUGAUACAGCUUUUUAAAGUGGGGAUUAUGUAAAUGCAUAUUACGGGGCUUUCAUAAAUAGGGAUUAUUUGUCGAAUACAUUUGAGUGCU